CAGUCGCCGCGGGAACACGAAGGGGGCUAGCGUUGUUCGGAUUUACUGGGCGUAAAGCGCACGUAGGCGGACUUUUAAGUCAGGGGUGAAAUCCCGGGGCUCAACCCCGGAACUGCCUUUGAUACUGGAAGUCUUGAGUAUGGUAGAGGUGAGUGGAAUUCCGAGUGUAGAGGUGAAAUUCGUAGAUAUUCGGAGGAACACCAGUGGCGAAGGCGGCUCACUGGACCAUUACUGACGCUGAGGUGCGAAAGCGUGGGGAGCAAACAGGAUUAGAGACCCCAGUAGUCCCUGUCUCUUAUAC
rnacentral:rRNA from 1 species